AGUGAACGCUGGCGGUAGGCCUGACACAUGCAAGUCGAACGGCAGCAUAGUAAGAGCUUGCUCUUACGGGUGGCGAGUGGCGGACGGGUGAGGAAUACAUCGGAAUCUACUUUUUCGUGGGGGAUAACGUAGGGAAACUUACGCUAAUACCGCAUACGACCUACGGGUGAAAGCAGGGGAUCUUCGGACCUUGCGCGAUUGAAUGAGCCGAUGUCGGAUUAGCUAGUUGGCGGGGUAAAGGCCCACCAAGGCGACGAUCCGUAGCUGGUCUGAGAGGAUGAUCAGCCACACUGGAACUGAGACACGGUCCAGACUCCUACGGGAGGCAGCAGUGGGGAAUAUUGGACAAUGGGCGCAAGCCUGAUCCAGCCAUACCGCGUGGGUGAAGAAGGCCUUCGGGUUGUAAAGCCCUUUUGUUGGGAAAGAAAAGCAGCAGGUUAAUACCCCGCUGUUCUGACGGUACCCAAAGAAUAAGCACCGGCUAACUUCGUG
rnacentral:rRNA from 1 species